rnacentral:rRNA from 1 species
CCUACGUGAGGCAGCAGUGGGGAAUAUUGCGCAAUGGGCGAAAGCCUGACGCAGCGACGCCGCGUGAGGGAUGAAGGUCUUCGGAUCGUAAACCUCUGUCAGCAGGGAAGAACGGUCACUGUGCUAAUCAGCAGUGAAUUGACGGUACCUGCAAAGGAAGCACCGGCUAACUCCGUGCCAGCAGCCGCGGUAAUACGGAGGGUGCGAGCGUUAAUCGGAAUUACUGGGCGUAAAGCGCUCGUAGGCGGUAUGUCAAGUCAAGGGUGAAAUCCCCGCGCUCAACGUGGGAACUGCCGUUGAAACUGGCAAACUGGAGAGUGUGAGAGGAUGGUGGAAUGCAAGGUGUAGGAGUGAAAUCCGUAGAUAUCUGGAGGAACAUCAGUGGCGAAGGCGACUAUCUGGCACAUAACUGACGCUGAGGAGCGAAAGCGUGGGUAGCAAACAGGAUUAGAUACCCGAGUAGUC